GAAAUUUCCCUACGAUCUUUACAGUAUUGUCGUAAAUAUAGGCUAGGUUGCCAAGCGACCAUAUGAUUUCAGGCUUAGGCCACUCUACUGUAAAGUGAGGGGAUCCACACAGAAGGUUAAAGUGAGUUCACCAAAACACGCAUCAUGCCGUUCAUCGACCUCCAGGGGAAGUUGGGUAUCAACAUGGACAAAUGGAUGUUGAUCCAGGGUGGAGAGCAGCCAUAUAAACGUGCGCCGCGCUGCCAUGCCUUUGAGAAGGAGUGGAUCGAGUGUGCAGAUGGCAUUGGUCAGACCCGUGCCAAAAAGGAGUGCAAGCUCGAGUUUGAGGACUUCUAUGAGUGCAUGCACAGAGAGAAGACGCACAAGAGGCUGUAUGAGAUCCGUAAGCAGCGGGACAAGAUGGUGAAGGAGGGCACCUACCAGACCCCAGCUCACCACACUGGCGCUCAGGCUGACAACAGGCCUUGACCCUAUUUGACCUUGUGUCCCCAACUUGUGUACAGUGUAGGGAGAGAUGAUUGGAAGGGACAGAAACGUGAAGGUAGCCUAGUGGUUGGUGUUGGACUAGUAACCGAAAGGUUGCAAGAUC